rnacentral:rRNA from 1 species
UUUAUGGGGUGACUGCGUACCUUUUGUAUAAUGGGUCAGCGACUUAUAUUCUGUAGCAAGGUUAACCGUAUAGGGGAGCCGAAGGGAAACCGAGUCUUAACUGGGCGUUAAGUUGCAGGGUAUAGACCCGAAACCCGGUGAUCUAGCCAUGGGCAGGUUGAAGGUUGGGUAACACUAACUGGAGGACCGAACCGACUAAUGUUGAAAAAUUAGCGGAUGACUUGUGGCUGGGGGUGAAAGGCCAAUCAAACCGGGAGAUAGCUGGUUCUCCCCGAAAGCUAUUUAGGUAGCGCCUCGUGAACUCAUCUUCGGGGGUAGAGCACUGUUUCGGCUAGGGGGCCAUCCCGGCUUACCAACCCGAUGCAAACUACGAAUACCGAAGAAUGUUAUCACGGGAGACACACGGCGGGUGCUAACGUCCGUCGUGAAGAGGGAAACAACCCAGACCGCCAGCUAAGGUCCCAAAGUCAUGGUUAAGUGGGAAACGAUGUGGGAAGGCACAGACAGCCAGGAUGUUGGCUUAGAAGCAGCCAUCAUUUAAAGAAAGCGUAAUAGCUCACUGGUCGAGUCGGCCUGCGCGGAAGAUGUAACGGGGCUAAACCAUGCACCGAAGCUGCGGCAGCGACNGUUGUUGGGUAGGGGAGCGUUCUGUAAGCCGUUGAAGGUGUCCUGUGAGGGGUGCUGGAGGUAUCAGAAGUGCGAAUGCUGACAUAAGUAACGAUAAAGCGGGUGAAAAGCCCGCUCGCCGGAAGACCAAGGGUUCCUGUCCAACGUUAAUCGGGGCAGGGUGAGUCGACCCCUAAGGCGAGGCCGAAAGGCGUAGUCGAUGGGAAACAGGUUAAUAUUCCUGUACUUGGUGUUACUGCGAAGGGGGGACGGAGAAGGCUAUGUUAGCCGGGCGACGGUUGUCCCGGUUUAAGCAUGUAGGCGGAGGUUCCAGGUAAAUCCGGUUCCUUGUUAACGCUGAGGUGUGAUGACGAGGCACUACGGUGCUGAAGUAACAAAUGCCCUGCUUCCAGGAAAAGCCUCUAAGCAUCAGGUAACAUCAAAUCGUACCCCAAACCGACACAGGUGGUCAGGUAGAGAAUACCAAGGCGCUUGAGAGAACUCGGGUGAAGGAACUAGGCAAAAUGGUGCCGUAACUUCGGGAGAAGGCACGCUGAUAUGUAGGUGAAGCCCCUGCGGGUGGAGCUGAAAUCAGUCGAAGAUACCAGCUGGCUGCAACUGUUUAUUAAAAACACAGCACUGUGCAAACACGAAAGUGGACGUAUACGGUGUGACGCCUGCCCGGUGCCGGAAGGUUAAUUGAUGGGGUUAGCGGNAACGCGAAGCUCUUGAUCGAAGCCCCGGUAAACGGCGGCCGUAACUAUAACGGUCCUAAGGUAGCGAAAUUCCUUGUCGGGUAAGUUCCGACCUGCACGAAUGGCGUAAUGAUGGCCAGGCUGUCUCCACCCGAGACUCAGUGAAAUUGAACUCGCUGUGAAGAUGCAGUGUACCCGCGGCAAGACGGAAAGACCCCGUGAACCUUUACUAUAGCUUGACACUGAACACUGGUCCUUGAUGUGUAGGAUAGGUGGGAGGCUUUGAAGCGUGGACGCCAGUCUGCGUGGAGCCAACCUUGAAAUACCACCCUUUAAUGGCUGGUGUUCUAACGUAGACCCGUGAUCCGGGUUGCGGACAGUGUCUGGUGGGUAGUUUGACUGGGGCGGUCUCCUCCCAAAGAGUAACGGAGGAGCACGAAGGUUAGCUAAUCCUGGUCGGACAUCAGGAGGUUAGUGCAAUGGCAUAAGCUAGCUUGACUGCGAGAGUGACGGCUCGAGCAGGUGCGAAAGCAGGUCAUAGUGAUCCGGUGGUUCUGAAUGGAAGGGCCAUCGCUCAACGGAUAAAAGGUACUCCGGGGAUAACAGGCUGAUACCGCCCAAGAGUUCAUAUCGACGGCGGUGUUUGGCACCUCGAUGUCGGCUCAUCACAUCCUGGGGCUGAAGUAGGUCCCAAGGGUAUGGCUGUUCGCCAUUUAAAGUGGUACGCGAGCUGGGUUUAGAACGUCGUGAGACAGUUCGGUCCCUAUCUGCCGUGGGCGCUGGAGAAUUGAGGGGGGCUGCUCCUAGUACGAGAGGACCGGAGUGGACGCAUCACUGGUGUUCGGGUUGUCAUGCCAAUGGCACUGCCCGGUAGCUAAAUGCGGAAGAGAUAAGUGCUGAAAGCAUCUAAGCACGAAACUUGCCCCGAGAUGAGUUCUCCCUGAGACUUUAAGUCUCCUGAAGGAACGUUGAAGACUACGACGUUGAUAGGUCGGGUGUGUAAGCGCAGCGAUGCGUUGAGCUAACCGAUACUAAUGAACCGUGAGGCUUAACCUUACAACGCCGAAG